GGAAUGGUAGCUCAGUGGUAGAGCAGCGGACUGCAGUUCCGAAGGUCGGGGGUUCAAUUCCCCCUCGUUCCU
rnacentral:tRNA from 1 species